CGCCUCUUGACCACUAUAAGAGGUCUAGCCUGCCCAGUGACCAAUUUAACGGCCGCGGUACCCUAACCGUGCGAAGGUAGCAUAAUCACUUGUUUCCUAAAUAGAGACUAGCAUCAACGGCAUCACGAAGACUAUACUGUCUUCCCCCUAAAAUCAAUGAAACUAAUCCCCUCGUGAAGAAGCGAGGAUAAAAAUAUAAGACGAGAAGACCCCAUGGAGCUUUAAACGAACUUUAAUUGCUCUUAAUCUUACCAUAAAAAACGAGCACUAAUAAAAGAUAGUUUUCGGUUGGGGUGACCACGGAGUAAAACAAAACCUCCACAGUGAAUGUAAUAAUACUAAUACAAGAACUACAAUUCUAAUAAUCAAAAAAUUGACACACUUGACCCAAACACUUGAUCAAUGAACCAAGUUACCCUGGGGAUAACAGCGCAAUCCAUUUUAAGAGCCCCUAUCGACAAAUGGGUUUACGACCUCGAUGUUGGAUCAGGGUAUCCUAGUGGUGCAGCCGCUACUAAU
rnacentral:rRNA from 1 species